rfam:Gossypium arboreum cultivar AKA8401 contig_5678_1, whole genome shotgun sequence.
AGGUGCGAUUAUACCAGCACUAAUGCAUCGGAUCCCAUCAGAACUCCAUUGCUAAACGUGCUUGGGUGAGAGCAGUACUAGGAUGGGUGUCUUGCUGGGAAGUCCUCGUGUUGCACCCC